rnacentral:rRNA from 1 species
UACGAGGGGGGGCAAGCGUUGUUCGGAUUCACUGGGCGUAAAGGGUGCGUAGGCGGUCGGGUAAGUCUGAUGUGAAAUCUCACAGCUUAACUGUGAAACUGCAUUGGAUACUAUUCGGCUUGAGAGUUGGAGGGGGGACUGGAAUUCUUGGUGUAGCAGUGAAAUGCGUAGAUAUCAAGAGGAACACCAGUGGCGAAGGCGAGUCCCUGGACAACUUCUGACGCUGAGGCACGAAAGCUAGGGGAGCAAACAGG